rnacentral:rRNA from 1 species
GACGAACGCUGGCGGCGUGCUUAACACAUGCGAGUCGAACGGAAAGGCCUCUUUCGGGGGGUACUCGAGUGGCGAACGGGUGAGUAACACGUGAGUAACCUGCCCUUGACUUUGGGAUAACUUCAGGAAACUGGGGCUAAUACCGGAUAGGAGCUCCUGCUGCAUGGUGGGGGUUGGAAAGUUUCGGCGGUUGGGGAUGGACUCGCGGCUUAUCAGCUUGUUGGUGGGGUAGUGGCUUACCAAGGCUUUGACGGGUAGCCGGCCUGAGAGGGUGACCGGCCACAUUGGGACUGAGAUACGGCCCAGACUCCUACGGGAGGCAGCAGUGGGGAAUAGUGCACCAUGGGUGGAAGCCUGAUGCAGCAACGCCGUGUGCGGGAUGACGGCCUUCGGGUUGUAAACCGCUUUCGCUCAUGACGAAGCUUUGUGUGACGGUAGUGGGUAAAGAAGCACCGGCUAACUACGUG